UCAAAUAACUUGUCUGGUUAGCUAGCCAGCUUAACUAAAUACCUGCCGAACUGUUCUAUGUGGCCCAACUUAAGCAGAGAGUCAAAAAACUCAUAAACUUGAGCUACAGAUUAAAAUAAACCCAAGGACUUGUGUUAUUUUCGCACAACACACACAAAAAGAAAAAAUCACAGUGAAACUAAACAAAUCUUUGAAUUAGUGUGAAAACAAAACAGCGAAAAGUCUUGGAAAAAACUUAAAAGACAAGCUAAAGUGCAAAACUUGAGUGCGGUGCAAGAAAUUGCCAUUUAUCUGCCACACGAUAAUUAAAAAUUGGAAAUUGAUGAAAAUCUGCUGGUGUAACUGUGUUUCAUUCUUAGCAUUAAAACGCGAGCAAAAUAACUGUUGAACAGAAUUUACGAUAUUUCCAUUUAAGAAAUAUAAAAGAUUACUAAUUUUUGUGUCAAUUGCUUUAUAACAAAAAAAAAACGGAAAUGAAAACGACUUUGUGAUGAAUAUUUUCGAAUAUGAGAAAAUGCGGCAAAACUUGAAGAAAAACAAAACCAAUCACCAUGGGAUUUGAUCACAAUCAAUAUGAGAAAACAUUGCCCAAUGUAUGCCACAAACAAUCACUAAAAUUCAUCAAAAUGGAAAAAUUUAUCGCGCAAAGAGGCCAUCGUUCCUAUGAAACCGUACAAAAAGGCAACGGAAACGGCAGCUAUGACUGCCAAACACACAGA
rnacentral:sRNA from 14 species